rnacentral:rRNA from 1 species
UACGUAGGGUGCAAGCGUUUAAUCGGAAUUACUGGGCGUAAAGCGUGCGCAGGCGGUUUUGUAAGUCUGUUGUGAAAUCCCCGGGCUCAACCUGGGAAUGGCAAUGGAGACUGCAAGGCUAGAGUUUGGCAGAGGGGGGUAGAAUUCCACGUGUAGCAGUGAAAUGCGUAGAGAUGUGGAGGAACACCGAUGGCGAAGGCAGCCCCCUGGGUCAAAACUGACGCUCAUGCACGAAAGCGUGGGGAGCAAACAGG